GAGAGGCGGCCUCAGGUUAACUUCAAGCAUGUUGGGCUCUCCAGGAGGGAGAAGAGGCACCUUUGCUGUGGGUUGAGGACUCCUAGAACCAACCUGAGACUCCGCGGCCAUAUACACCUUACGACGUGUGUGUGUGUGUGGCGGGGGAUGGGAGGGGAGGAAUCCUGUAGAACCCAGAUCCCAUCAUUCCAGCAACUGCCAGAGCGUUCGAGAAUGUCAUGUCUGUACCUGUCUUCUCUCAUCUUUUGUGCCAACUGUUUUAUCAAACUUCUACCCCACUUUAGGUCUUCCAGUAGAUACCUGAAACCCUGAACUACAAUAUAUGUGAAAUACAGUGAAUGGCAGAAAUACUUUGAUAAAAGAUGUAAAUGCCUACGGACUGCAGAAGACAACAUCAACAAAGCACACUUCACAAAAAGUACAACACAAAUAUACUGCCCAGGUUCUAAAACAUGUAUAAGAGUUAACAAAAUCAGCUGAGGUUGAGCAGAAAUUGUAUAGGAAAAAAUAGGAAAAACACAGGGACCAAUCUCAGCUGCAAGAAGGUUCAGCUAGACACUGCAAGCAAAAGUAUAACUCCUGAAGAUACAGGAAAAGACCUUAACUGAGGGAUGGUUUCCUGCUGUGUCCUCGGAACCCCGGGGCCUGGUUCAUAGAGACAAGUAAGCAGUGACUGAAGAAAGUUGCAAAUGUGAAGACCUAGAAUUUACCAAUGAAUGACAAUUUGAAUGUGAGAAGCUUAGAAACAGAGAAGAUGGUGGUCAGCAAGGGAAGAAGAAAAAUAAAAACAUGGGAAAAAAUGAGAGGAAUGGAUAUAGGCAGAGGACCAAAUGGCAUCAAACUCACAGCAAAUAGGCUAGAUUCACCUAUUUCAAAAGGAAAUUCUUUCUAGCAUAAAGAAAAGACAAAUAUUUAAGGUGACGAAUAUCUCAACUACACUAAUUUGAUCUUUGACUCAAAUUAUAUGAAUGUAUUAAAUUAUCACCUAUACCCUGAAACUAUGCACAUCUAUUAUGCAUCAAUAAAUAAUUAUUUAAAAAAAUAGAAAUGCUAGAACCGAAAAACUCAAUAAAGAAAUUAAAAAAGAAAAUCAAGCUACUGAAGAGAUCCCUGGGCUGUGACGGAAACAAAUAAAAUGGCUUAUUUCUAAGGGCACUCAACUAUUGAGUAAGUCUGAGCCGAAAGGUAUAAAGUACCUUUGGCAAAUAAUAAUAAUAAUAACCACAAAAAUAAGCUUCUUAGAUAGCCUAUUGCUUUGUGGUUAUAAUAAUUAUACACUCCACUGGAUAGCAAGCAAUCUACUUAUCUACACGUGUAAGUUUGACUUGAAGUUUCUUCUAUUUUUCAUCUGCUGGAGUAACUCAAUUACUAGGCCAUCUGUAUUUGCAAAUCUGCAAAGUGAAUGUUGUCAUCCAGUAGCCUUGCCACAUGUGUCCUGAGUACUUUUUACAUUCUUUAGCUUCCUUGAUUCACUUCAGCCACCCUAGAAAUUACUGAGUUUCAAAUUAGAUUAAGUCUCCCUGAGAAGUGAAAUAAAUAUUGGAUGGAGAGAAGGAAAGAAGAUUCAGAUGGGUGGGGAUGAAGAAUGAGCCGUGUGAAGGAAGCAUGUUUGCUAAUAAACCUCACAGAGGAUGACCUGAGUACACAAUGCGGUUUCAUAUUUUUAUCUUAAUGCUGCUCAUUAUAGCCAACUAUAAUCUCUGCCUGCCUGACAAUGAAUGGUUUGUGUAUAUGUCUGUUCGCCCACCUAGACCUGGAAUUCCCUGAAAGCAGAACCUAGUCUUCAUCUGUGUAUCCCCAGCUCCUAGAAUCAGGACUGGCACAAAGCUGUUACUCAGUAUCUUUUUGUUGAAUGAAGGAAGCAAAGACUCAAAUACAUUUUUUCAUUUUUUUCACCUUAUGAAACUUUUGGCCUCAUAAAACUUUUUGACUUAUGAAACUUUCUUAAGGGCUAUGAAGUAAGGUUGAAUGCAUUGCUUUGUGUUCAAAAUCCCUUCAGCCCCUGUGGUAGUCAAUGGAAAUUUAUAUAAUCUGAUUACUUAUUAUAUCACCAAACCUCCAGAGUUGGGCACAGACUGGAGGGUGAACCCACCAACUAAAAGAGGCAGAGGGACACAUGAGUGUUCACACAAGUGAUAAAUUAACAUAAACUACUUUAAAGGUUAUUUAAAAUUUACAUGUCUUGGAGUUAACCCUAAAGUAGCAGUUCUUAAUUUAGGGCUCAUGGAUCUUUAGCAAGUCCAAGGAUGAAUUUUAGGGGGCAUAUUUAUGAACCACAAAAACAAACAUCAAAGACAAAAUGAGUUACACGAAGACAUGUGUUUUGGAAGGGAGGUGAUCUACAGCUGUCAUUAGAUUAUUGAAGGAGCCUAUGAUCCAAAAAUAAUAUAAUUCAUAACUUCAAACAGAUAUUUUCAGAGUAUGACAAGAAAUAUGCACAAGGAUGUUCAUCAUGGCAUAGAGAGAGUGGAAAAUUGGAAGUAAUCCAAAUGGAUUUCAAUAAAGGAGUGUUGAGCACAUAAAUAAAACAUAUGUGAUAUGCUG
rnacentral:antisense_RNA from 1 species